rnacentral:rRNA from 1 species
CACGAAGGGGGCUAGCGUUGUUCGGAAUUACUGGGCGUAAAGGGCGCGUAGGCGGUUUGUCGCGUCUGCCGUGAAAGUCCGGGGCUCAACUCCGGAUCUGCGGUGGGUACGGGCAGACUAGAGUGAUGUAGGGGAGACUGGAAUUCCUGGUGUAGCGGUGAAAUGCGCAGAUAUCAGGAGGAACACCGAUGGCGAAGGCAGGUCUCUGGGCAUUAACUGACGCUGAGGAGCGAAAGCAUGGGGAGCGAACAGG